UACGGGGGGGGGCAAGCGUUGUUCGGAAUCAUUGGGCGUAAAGGGCGCGUAGGUGGUUCUGUAUGUCUGCCGUGAAAGCGUACGGCUCAACCGUAUUUUGUCGGUAGAAACUGCAGGACUUGAGGCUGGGAGGGGCUGGUGGAAUUCCCUGUGUAGCGGUGAAAUGCGUAGAGAUGGGGGAGAACACUCGUGGCGAAGGCGGCCAGCUAGACCAGUUCUGACACUGAGGCGCGACAGCGUGGGGAGCAAACAGG
rnacentral:rRNA from 1 species